GACGAACGCUGGCGGCGUGCUUAACACAUGCAAGUCGAACGGAAAGGCCCUGCUUUUGUGGGGUGCUCGAGUGGCGAACGGGUGAGUAACACGUGAGUAACCUGCCCUUGACUUUGGGAUAACUUCAGGAAACUGGGGCUAAUACCGGAUAGGAGCUCCUGCUGCAUGGUGGGGGUUGGAAAGUUUCGGCGGUUGGGGAUGGACUCGCGGCUUAUCAGCUUGUUGGUGGGGUAGUGGCUUACCAAGGCUUUGACGGGUAGCCGGCCUGAGAGGGUGACCGGCGACAUGAGGACUGAGAUAGGGCCCAGACUCCAACGGUAGGCAGCAGUGGGGAGUAUGGCACAGUAGGCGGAAGCCUGAUGCAGCAACGCCGCGUGCGGGAUGACGGCCUUCGGGUUGUAAACCGCUUUCGCCUGUGACGAGGCGGGAGUGACGGUAAUGGGUAAAGAAGCACCGGCUAACUACGUG
rnacentral:rRNA from 1 species